UUAGCCUAUUGCUUACAACUAAUGAGCUCCAAGAAGAGCAAAACCAAUUAGGUCCUACAGUACUGGCCUAAUAAAGA
rnacentral:hammerhead_ribozyme from 2 species